rnacentral:rRNA from 1 species
AUUGAACGCUGGCGGCAGGCUUAGCACAUGCAAGUCGAGCGGAGAGAGGUAGCUUGCUACUGAUCUUAGCGGCGGACGGGUGAGUAAUGCUUAGGAAUCUGCCUAUUAGUGGGGGACAACAUUUCGAAAGGAAUGCUAAUACCGCAUACGUCCUACGGGAGAAAGCAGGGGAUCUUCGGACCUUGCGCUACUAGAUGAGCCUAAGUCGGAUUAGCUAGGUGGUGGGGUAAGGGCCGACCAAGGCGACGAUCUGUAGGGGGUCUGAGAGGAUGAUCCGCCACACUGGGACUGAGACACGGCCCAGACUCCUACGGGAGGCAGCAGUGGGGAAUAUUGGACAAUGGGCGCAAGCCUGAUCCAGCCAUGCCGCGUGUGUGAAGAAGGCCUUAUGGUUGUAAAGCACUUUAAGCGAGGAGGAGGCUACUUUAGAUAAUACCUAGAGAUAGUGGACGUUACUCGCAGAAUAAGCACCGGCUAACUCUGUGCCAGCAGCCGCGGUAA